GUCCCUGUAGCACAAUGCUUAGUGAGUUGGACUUCUAAUACAAAUGUCGUGGGUUUGAAUCCAUCCCACCUGGGGUG